rnacentral:rRNA from 1 species
GAUGAACGCUGGCGGCGUGCUUAACACAUGCAAGUCGAGCGAAGCAGUUAAGUUGAUUUCUUCGGAUUGAUUCUUGACUGACUGAGCGGCGGACGGGUGAGUAACGCGUGGGUGACCUGCCCCAUACCGGGGGAUAACAGCUGGAAACGGCUGCUAAUACCGCAUAAGCGAACAGAGCUGGAUGGCUCGGUGUGAACAACUCCGGUGGUAUGGGAUGGGCCCGCGUCUGAUUAGGCAGUUGGCGGGGUAACGGCCCACCAAAACGACGAUCAGUAGCCGGCCUGAGAGGUCGACCGGCCACAUUGGGACUGAGACACGGCCCAAACUCCUACGGGAGGCAGCAGUGGGGAAUAUUGCACAAUGGGGGAAACCCUGAUGCAGCGACGCCGCGUGAGCGAGGAAGUAUUUCGGUAUGUAAAGCUCUAUCAGCAGGGAAGAUAAUGACGGUACCUGACUAAGAAGCCCCGGCUAACUACGUGCCAGCCGCCGCAGUAA